UACGUAGGGUGCGAGCGUUGUCCGGAAUUAUUGGGCGUAAAGAGCUCGUAGGCGGUGUGUCGCGUCGGCCGUGAAAACCUGGGGCUCAACUCUGGGCGUGCGGUCGAUACGGGCAUCACUUGAGUUCGGCAGGGGAGACUGGAAUUCCUGGUGUAGCGGUGAAAUGCGCAGAUAUCAGGAGGAACACCGAUGGCGAAGGCAGCUCGCUGGGACGGUACUGACGCUGAGACGCGAAAGCGUGGGGAGCGAUCCGG
rnacentral:rRNA from 1 species